rnacentral:rRNA from 1 species
GACGAACGCUGGCGGCGUGCUUAACACAUGCAAGUCGAACGAUGAAACCUAGCUUGCUAGGUCGAUUAGUGGCGAACGGGUGAGUAACACGUGACUAACCCGCCCCUUUCUCUGGGAUAACGCUCCGAAAGGAGUGCUAAUACCGGAUACUCACAUCGAGGCACAUGCCUUGGUGUGGAAAGUUUUUCGGAAAGGGAUGGAGUCGCGGCCUAUCAGCUUGUUGGUGAGGUAACGGCUCACCAAGGCGACGACGGGUAUCCGGCCUGAGAGGGCGACCGGCCACACUGGGAAUGAGACACGGCCCAGACUCCUACGGGAGGCAGCAGUGGGGAAUAUUGCACAAUGGGCGCAAGCCUGAUGCAGCGACGCCGCGUGAGGGAUGAAGGUCUUCGGAUUGUAAACCUCUUUCAGUAGGGACGAAGCGAAAGUGACGGUACCUAAAGAAGAAGCACCGGCUAACUACGUGCCAGCAGCCGCCGUAA